rnacentral:tRNA from 1 species
GACAACAGCUCAGCGGUUGAACACUCGCUUCACAAGCGAAAGGUCGGUAGUUCGAUCCCACCAGGGCGUCA